CAGCAGCCGCGGUAAUACGGAGGGUGCAAGCGUUAAUCGGAAUUACUGGGCGUAAAGCGCACGCAGGCGGUCUGACAAGUCAGAUGUGAAAUCCCCGGGCUUAACCUGGGAACUGCAUUUGAAACUGUCAGGCUGGAGUCUUGUAGAGGGGGGUGGAAUUCCAGGUGUAGCGGUGAAAUGCGUAGAGAUCUGGAGGAAUACCGGUGGCGAAGGCGGCCCCCUGGACGAAGACUGACGCUCAGGUGCGAAAGCGUGGGGAGCAAACAGGAUUAGAUACCCGUGUAGUCCCUGUCUCUUAUAC
rnacentral:rRNA from 1 species